GAGGGUAUAGCUCAAGUGGUAGAGCACAUGCUUAGCAUGCAUAAGGUCCCGGGUUCAAUCCUCAGUACCUCCU
rnacentral:tRNA from 1 species